UACGUAGGGUGCGAGCGUUAAUCGGAAUUACUGGGCGUAAAGCGUGCGCAGGCGGUCUGUUAAGACCGAUGUGAAAUCCCCGGGCUUAACCUGGGAACUGCAUUGGUGACUGGCAGGCUUUGAGUGUGGCAGAGGGAGGUAGAAUUCCACGUGUAGCAGUGAAAUGCGUAGAGAUGUGGAGGAAUACCGAUGGCGAAGGCAGCCUCCUGGGCCAACACUGACGUUCAUGCACGAAAGCGUGGGGAGCAAACAGG
rnacentral:rRNA from 1 species